AGAUGUUCGCUACCGACCAGGGGUGGAACUUCUUUGAGGAAACUCUCGCUGACUCCCGCGAUAUUUGCUUUGGUAUAUAUUGACAGUUUGCCCGUCAGCGGGUCUCUUUCAACUGGAUUGGAGACGAAAUGUCCCACCGUAAGUUUUCGGCUCCGCGACACGGAUCCCUGGGCUUCCUGCCCCGCAAGAGGAGCCGUCGUCACCGCGGUAAGGUCAAGAGCUUCCCCAAGGAUGACCCCAGCAAGCCCGUCCAUCUUACUGCCUUCCUGGGCUAUAAGGCCGGCAUGACUCACAUCGUCCGUGAGGUGGACAGACCUGGCUCAAAGGUGAACAAGAAGGAAGUGGUUGAGGCAGUGACCAUUGUGGAGACGCCUCCCAUGAUUGUGGUCGGCGUUGUUGGUUACGUCAACACCCCCCGUGGUCUGCGGUCCUUCAAGACUGUCUUCGCUGAGCACAUGAGUGACGAGUGUAAGCGUCGCUUUUACAAGAAUUGGUACAAGUCCAAGAAGAAGGCUUUCACCAAAUACUGCAAGAAAUGGCAGGAUGAGGAGGGCAAGAAGCAGCUGGAGAAAGACUUUGCUGCCAUGAAAAAAUACUGCCAGGUCAUCCGUGUCAUUUGCCACACACAGAUGCGUCUGCUGCCACUGAGGCAGAAGAAGGCUCACCUCAUGGAAGUGCAGCUGAAUGGAGGCACCAUCUCUGAUAAGGUGGACUGGGCCCGUGAGAAGCUGGAGCAGGCUGUGUUAGUAAACGCAGUUUUCACCCAGGAUGAGAUGAUUGAUGUCAUUGGCGUCACUAAGGGUCACGGAUACAAGGGUGUCACCAGCCGUUGGCACACAAAGAAGCUUCCUCGCAAAACCCAUCGUGGUCUGCGUAAGGUGGCCUGUAUUGGUGCCUGGCAUCCUGCCCGUGUGGCCUUCUCUGUGGCCCGUGCUGGUCAGAAGGGUUACCACCACCGCACAGAAAUCAACAAGAAGAUCUACAAGAUUGGUCAGGGCUACCACCAGAAAGAUGGAAAACUGGUGAAGAACAAUGCCUCCACAGAGUACGAUCUGUCCAACAAGAGCAUCAACCCCAUGGGUGGAUUCGUCCAUUACGGAGAAGUGAGGAAUGACUUUGUCAUGGUGAAGGGCUGUGUUGUGGGGACCAAGAAGAGAGUGCUGACUCUGCGCAAGUCUCUGCUGGUGCAGACGAGCCGUCGUGCUUUGGAGAAGAUCGACCUCAAAUUUAUCGACACCACCUCCAAGUUCGGUCAUGGUCGCUUCCAGACUGUGGAGGAAAAGAAGGCUUUCAUGGUAUGACUUUGUUCUGUGAGCUGUUUAUUUUAUUUAGUUUUUUUGUUCUGCAGUAUUCACAAUGAACAUGAGAUCCAUGCAUCUGUAAUUUCAAGCUGUAUAGUAAUGGUGGCUUGUGUCAUAUUACUUGGUUUUCAGGCCAUCUUUUCUGCAACGUGUUUCUGCUAGUUUCAGAUGGGAUAAGCUGAGGACAUGCCCAGUAUAAGAUGUAUAAUUAUUUUGAUCUGAAUUAUGCAAUACUGGGGG